GGGGAACUUUCUGGCACCUUCUGGCUGGGCCGCCGGCGGGCGGAAGCGGCGGGCGGAGGCGGGCGCUGCGCUGCGGCGGUGUCCGGGGAGGGAGCGGUGGCCGGUGGCCGGGCCAUCGCCAUGGCCAAGUGGGGACAGGGGGACCCGCGAUGGAUCGUGGAGGAGCGCGCGGACGCCACCAACGUCAACAACUGGCACUGGACGGAGCGGGACGCGACCAGCUGGUCGAAGAGCAAGCUGAAGGAGGUGCUGGUGGGGCUGGUGGUGGAGGGCGAGGCCGGGCGCUGCGAGAUCAGCGACCUGAAGCAGGUGGAAGGCGAGGCGUCCUGCAACAGCCGCAAAGGGAAGCUCAUCUUCUUCUACGAGUGGAACCUGCGCCUCAGCUGGAAAGGUACAGUGAAAGAGUCUGGUGAGAAACAUAAGGGAUCUGUUGAAAUUCCUAACCUGUCAGAAGAAAAUGAGGUAGAUGAUACAGAGAUAAACAUUAGCAAAAAGAAGGGGGAAGGCGAUGUUCUGAAGGACCUUAUGAGAACUGAAGGAACCACAAAAGUCAGAGAGGCCCUGAGAGAUUACCUGAAAGCACUUAAAACAGAGUUUACCUUGGGAAUGAUCCUGCCAACAAAAACUGCUGUUGGUCAGGAGCCGGCCACAGAGCGAAAACCAAGUGGGAACACUGUGCAAGAUUCUGUUUCAGCACAGUCUGUGGAUAUAAUUGGUGUAAAAAUUCCAACAGUGAAGAUACUUAUGAGAGAAAUAUUCAACUCUCCAGCAGAUGAACUUUACAGCAUCUUCACAACUAAGGAAUUGGUACAGAAGUUUUCUAAAUGUCCUGCUGUGAUCGAAGCUGAGAAAGGAGGCAAACUUCUGAUGUUUGAUGGGUGCGUCAGCGGUGAAUAUGCAGAACUGGUCCCAAGCCAGAGAAUUGUCCUGAAGUGGAGGUGCAGAAGCUGGCCUGACGAACAUUACGCAACAGUUGCUUUGAAUUUCAAGGAUAUGGCUGCGCAAACAGAACUGCAGUUAGAGUGCAAAGGAGUUCCUGUCUCUAACGAGGAUAGUACAAGACAAUGCUGGAAGAAGCAGUAUUUUGAAGAAAUACGUACUUUACUGCAGCAAGCCAAAGACAACAUGGAAUGACAACAGCACUGUAGUUUUGUUAGGGCAUUACUUUUUAUACUUUGUUAACAUUUGUUUUUUAAAAAAAAAGUAAUUUAUUUGUGGGAAGAAUAAAGACCCACUUAUAUGAUACUGUAUAUAAUUUAAGCAUUAUUUAUGGAUUUUUAGUGAGUGAGGUGGCGAGUAAGUCGGACUACAUAAACAGCUUUACUUGGGGAAACUGAUCUCUGUUCUGCUUGCCUCCAACUUCACUUCAGAGAGUAACAGCGGUUCGGCUGCAGUGAAGUGCUGCCAUGGUAGGACACCAACACAUGGCAACCUUCCCACACACCAGCGUACAUCAUGCAGAAGAUAAGGAAGUGCUGCUCUCUUCUACAGGCGAGGCUUUCCCGGGGGAGUUUGGGGUCAGGUCUCUUACCCGCUGUGUGCUUAGGUGAGGUUUGUUGUAGUGACAAGAGCAGAGGCCUGGCCGCGACAGGCUGGUUACCAAGCGUCACAUUGCUUGUGGUUUAGGUGUCCACUCAGAGGGUGGAGAACAGCCUCUUGACAAACGUCAUGUUUUAGCAUCUUUCUUUUUCCGAAUGCUCAGAAUUUAAGUUACCCUUUUUUCGGUAAAUACUCAAGAACAAUGAGUCUAACACUUUGAAUACAAAAAUGAUUUAAAGUAUUGGUUGAUGAAGGGGCAACCUUUAAAUAAGAAGAGAAAAUCUAGGUUUAAGACAGAGGGGGCGAAGCGGUUUUAUGUGUACACGACCCAAGCGACAGUUUAGUAUCUGAGAGUAGGCUGUUACAUCCAGUUACACAUUCUUUUCAAACGGUGUAUCCUACAGCCCUAGCACUCCUCUGGGAAGUAUGUAUCACCAGUUUUCCCUCCCGACUAAACACCCUCUGGCUUAGAGUCCCAAGUACCCACUACUUGUAUGUUUUGCUAGUCUGAAUUUGUGUGUCUCCUUCCCCUAGCAGGGGCAAUCAGCCGGACCAACUGCCCAUCAUCAGUGUUUAAAAAAAAAAGUGACUUACUUGUGUUUCCAGUGUCCGACCACUCAGUGUCAGGUGUGGGAUGGUGCAAACCCCCAGAACACUCUGCAGGGAGGUCCAAGCCUGUGCAAGGCGGAACAGCCCCCGCCAGCCCUCAUUUCCUCCUGAAGGAGAGGGCAGGAACUGCAGGUGACGUGUCAUCUUUAGUUGUCGUCUUGUCCCGUCGUGCCUGCACAGCUGUAAGUUUGGUAAUACGGACAAGCUUUCCGUACUUAAAAACAUGAAGUACCUACCUUUCCUUCCUGCCAGCGUAGCGCAGGAAACGGGCAGUCGGCUUGCGCACACGUGAAGGGCCCCCGAUUGACUGUCCCUGCAGGCCAAAAAAAGGUCAGGUUUUUAUUCUUGCCUCACCAGCAUUCCUGCGCUUUUCCCAUCUUCACUGUGUGUGCUGGAACACAGCUGCCAGUAGUAUAUUGCCGAUCUGAAACUUCAGUGUCUGCACACAGUUGUUUUGGAUUCCGGAAAAAAUCAGAAAGAAGUGCAUUUUACUUUGAGCAGGUAGCCGGCAGGAGGAUUUCCAAAGAACGUUAAACUACUCGUUAUCCUCAGUCCUUGAGCUAGAUGGAGCAGAGUUAGGAAUUGCAUACCGUGUAGUCACAGUAUGAUGAUAACAAUAUGAUAGUGCCAUACAUAAACCAUACGGUAUCACAUAUCAUGCAACGAUAGUAUCAGACGUGUAGUUUGUUUUCUGAGUAAGUCUCUGUUCUUCCUUAUGCCAAACUUUUCUCAAUGUAACAAAAGGGCAAACAGCAGCAGUGCAGAUGUGUGCACAGAGCUUGAAAUAGCCUCGCAUUUACUGGAAUUCAUGUGUUUUAAGAAGAGAGUAAUGAGCGCAGAAGACAUCCCAGGGAGGGCGAGCAGCAUGAAAGAAGAGACAGUUUUGUCUGUGAUGCAGCGCGUUCAUAACAUAGUAAGAUUCUGGACAACAAGCUGGUCUCUGAGACAGCCGAAAGGAAAAAUAAUUGAAUUUGUAAGAUUAUAGCCAAAAAUCAGCCCAGAGGGUGGCUGUUAAGGGGAAAGUAUUUUAGAAGCUUAAUUCUGAAGGGGUUAAAUGGGAGGUGGGACUUCCAGGAGGAAAUACGCAGCAGUUAAAUGGGAAGUGGGAUGGCGGAAGAGAAUAAAAGCUUUAAGGGACUGAGGAAGCCAGUUAAAUAAAGGCGGGGGUUUCAGAGACAGGGAUAAAAAAAAGCAUCCUUGAAGGCAAAGAAAUACAAACUAGAAAAUGGAUUAAAAGUAAAAGAAGGAGAAUACUGUGGAAGAAAUGACUUACAGAACAUGCAAGAUGUGAGGGACACAGGAAGAUAUAAGAAAAAAACGGGGCAGACAAGGAUACAGAAGAGAUGACAAGUUUGUGCAGGUACUGCUUGCGUUUGUUUAAAAAACUGAAUACUGGGAAAUAAUUCCCAGUAAGAAUUACAGGAAAUUGGAAGGUAACGUAAGGGAAGAGCAGUAACAAUAACGAUAAUUCUGGAAAUCUUGACACAACUUCUGAGCAAAAGAACAGAACAGCUAGUAUUAAAUUCGUUCAGUUUAGAACCACAGGAUAAUCGUUAAAGCGAAGCAAGAUGGUUUUUAAUACCUGGUCAACUUUGCUGUAGCUUUUUGCAGAGGUUGCUUCUCUGUGCGCUGCCGCUCUUGCUACAUAAAGGCGCUUUGCUUCCAGAGCCACCAAACCCGAGCGUACCGCACCGCUGAGACCCAACCCGAAACGCUCACUUCUUCGGGAAUGGGAAACGGUUAUCAAAUAAAUGGGCUUCUAGUGUGAUUCUAGAUAUUUGUCAGAAAACUAUGGACAGUAAAAUACAAAAUAACCACUACUAGCAUGUGUCAGUUACAUAUACAGGCCUGUAGGGGAAAACACCCUAAAAAUAACUUGGAGGACCUAGUCCUUAGUCAGUGACCAGCUGAACACAGAGGGGCUAAGGUUCACCUGGGAAAACAGAUGGGGAAGAAGGGUGUAUCAUUUGUAAAAUUGUUAUUAAAUACCGUUUAUACUUAGUAUUUGCUUCUAAAAGGGGUUUCAAAACAAUGAGAGAAAAAACAUCACAAAAGACAGAGUCCUGCACUUUAGUAGCAGAAUUAUGGUGCGAUCUCAUCCCGCGUGAGAAGCUAAAGCCAAAGUCCAACAGCUGAAAGGGGAAGUCAGACAAUGUACCAACAAUCAGACGUGCAUUUUAACUAGGAGUAAUUAAUUAACUGCGACUACUCACCCAAGGGUUACAAUGGCUGCUUCAUCUCCUGAAGGUCUUUAGAUGGACGGGGAGAACCUUCCUCAAGACAUCUCCACCCAACCCCAAAGGAGCAGGCUCGGUAGAAGACUUGAUAGAUGAAUUCUGAUUCAUUAUGGAGAAGUUUUGACCAGCAGCUGUUGAUGAUUUCUCUGACGCGACAAUCUAUGGGGAAGUUGAUCAGAACAGGUAAUACAAUUACUCCUAAAGAGAGUGAAAACAUAACUACUUCAUGUCUGAAUAAUCCGCACUUACCAGCAUCAAUACAGUGUAAAUGCAGCAAUAAAAGUGCUAAGGACGGGGAAUAGAAAGUCUAAACUUUAAAGACGGAAAUUAUUAAUUACAGAAGGUUAAAAAAAUGAGAGUAGAUUCAGAGUAAGAGUUGUCACAAGAGCAUCGCGU